AUUGAACGCUGGCGGCAGGCCUAACACAUGCAAGUCGAGCGGAUGAAGGGAGCUUGCUCCUGGAUUCAGCGGCGGACGGGUGAGUAAUGCCUAGGAAUCUGCCUGGUAGUGGGGGAUAACGUCCGGAAACGGGCGCUAAUACCGCAUACGUCCUGAGGGAGAAAGUGGGGGAUCUUCGGACCUCACGCUAUCAGAUGAGCCUAGGUCGGAUUAGCUAGUUGGUGGGGUAAAGGCCUACCAAGGCGACGAUCCGUAACUGGUCUGAGAGGAUGAUCAGUCACUCUGGAACUGAGACACGGUCCAGACUCCUACGGGAGGCAGCAGUGGGGAAUAUUGGACAAUGGGCGAAAGCCUGAUCCAGCCAUGCCGCGUGUGCGAAGAAGGUCUUCGGAUUGUAAAGCACUUUAAGUUGGGAGGAAGGGCAGUAAGUUAAUACCUUGCUGUUUUGACGUUACCAACAGAAUAAGCACCGGCUAACUUCGUG
rnacentral:rRNA from 1 species